CAAUGCCCGCAAGGGUGACCCAGCAACGCCGCGUGGAGGAUGACUGUCGUAAGAUUGUAAACUCCUGUUAGAGGGGAAGAAUAGUACCGGUUGGACCGGUAUAUGACUGUACCCUCAGAGAAAGCCCCGGCUAACUACGUGCCAGCAGCCGCGGUAAUACGUAGGGGGCAAGCGUUGUCCGGAUUUACUGGGUGUAAAGGGCGCGCAGGCGGAAUGGAAAGUCAGUGGUGAAAUCCUACAGCUUAACUGUAGAACUGCCUUUGAUACUUUCAUUCUUGAGUUCGGGAGAGAGAGACGGAAUUCCAGGUGUAGUGGUGAAAUACGUAGAUAUCUGGAAGAACAC
rnacentral:rRNA from 1 species